GUGCUCAGCUUCAGCAGCACGUAUACUAAGAAAAUUGGAACGAUGCAGAGAAGGUUGGCAUGGCCCCUGUACAAGGAUGACAUGCAAAUUUGUGAAAUAUUCCAUGUUAAA
ensembl:snRNA U6 U6 spliceosomal RNA